AUUGAACGCUGGCGGCAGGCCUAACACAUGCAAGUCGAACGAGCGGCGGACGGGUGAGUAAUGUAUGGGAAACUGCCCGAUAGAGGGGGAUAACUACUGGAAACGGUAGCUAAUACCUCAUACUAUCCGAUGAGCCCAGAUGGGAUUAGCUAGUAGGUGGGGUAACGGCUCACCAAGGCGACGAUCCCUAGCUGGGCUGAGAGGAUGACCAGCCACACUGGGACUGAGACACGGGCCAGACUCCGACGGGAGGCAGCAGUGGGGAAGAGUGCACAAUGGGAGCAAGCCUGAUGCAGCCAUGCCGCGUGUAUGAAGAAGGCCUUAGGGUUGUAAAGUACUUUCAGCGGGGAGGCGUUACCCGCAGAAGAAGCACCGGCUAACUCCGUGCCAGCAGCCGCGGUAAUAC
rnacentral:rRNA from 1 species